rnacentral:misc_RNA from 1 species
AAUUCUCAACUUCCCCAGUUUUGUUAUGAAACAGUGCGAAGCUUGGAUGUGGGGGUUUGUGCAGAAUACGAUUGUAAACUGCUCCCCUUAAAUAAAUUAGCGAGUUCAAUCUGAGCCCCGUCUAUUGGUGUGAUAACUAUCUACGCCGUGGAUUGAGCUUAGACUUGCUUCUAACUGUCUGCAAGGACAACAUUUUGACA